rnacentral:tRNA from 1 species
CAUUAAGAAGCUAUGCACUCAGCACUAGCCUUUUAAGCUAGAGAGAGGGGUCUGCUCGCCCCCUUAAUGA